rnacentral:lncRNA from 1 species
AUUUUAGGACUCUAAACAAUGCGCUUCGCUAUUAUAGGACUCCAAACGUCGACUUCGCUAAAACGACACUUGAAACGUGGGUACUUUGUUAUACAUGACAUUUGGUUAUUUCAAUCGCUUUUCUCAACUAAAAUACAUGUAUUUUUCCUUCAUGUUAUCGUAUUGCCCUUCUGUCUUCGAUUGACGUGAACCGAUCGGUCCUCCUGCCCGACGCCGUUUCAUCUAUCCCUCGAUGCGUCGUUCCUCCUUCCCCGACGCCGCUAUUCCUCCUUCCUCCCACCCAACGCCAUGGAUGGAGAGGAGCCAGAUGGAGCCCGUGACACAGGCCAUGGUCCCGAUCAGCUUCAGGUUACCCUUUCCCACCAUCUGCUCCAGGCACUCGCGCGGCAACCUGAUGAAGCCCAAGUCCACGGCGGUGUCGCUGGUGGUGUGCAGGUCACAAUACAUGAAGCCUCGCGAGAGAUUGGCCUAGAAACCCUUGCCUUGGAAAGAGAAGGCCACGUCUGGAU